UACAGAGGGUGCGAGCGUUAAUCGGAAUUACUGGGCGUAAGGCGCGCGUAGGCGGCUUUUCAAGUCGAUUGUGAAAUCCCCGGGCUUAACCUGGGAACUGCAGUCGAGACUGUCUGGCUAGAGUAUGGGAGAGGGAAGUGGAAUUUCAGGUGUAGCGGUGAAAUGCGUAGAUAUCUGAAGGAACAUCAGUGGCGAAAGCGACUUCCUGGACCAAUACUGACGCUCAUGUGCGAAAGCGUGGGGAGCAAACAGG
rnacentral:rRNA from 1 species